ensembl:lncRNA
GGAGAAAAGACACAUCAGAGGGACAGAAGGAGAAGACAGGAGAAAAUACACAUCAGAGGGACAGGAGGAGAAGACAGGAGAAAAGACACAUCAGAGGGACAGGAGGAGAAAGGAGAAAAGACACAUCAGAGGGACAGAAGGAGAAGACAGGAGGAAAGACACAUCAGAGGGACAGGAGGAGAAGACAGGAGAAAAGACACAUCAGAGGGACAGGAGGAGAAGACAGGAGAAAAGACACAUCAGAGGGGGACAGGAAGAAAAGACACAUCAGAGGGACAGGAGGAGAAGACAGGAGAAAAGACACAUCAGAGGGACAGAAGGAGAAGACAGGAGAAAUGACACAUCAGAGGGGGACAGGAGGAGAAGACAGGAGAAAAGACACAUCAGAGGGACAGGAGGAGAAGACAGGAGGAAAGACACAUCAGAGGGACAGGAGGAGAAGACAGGAGAAAAGACACAUCAGAGGGACAGAAGGAGAAGACAGGAGAAAAGACACAUCAGAGGGACAGAAGGAGAAGACAGGAGGUAAGACACAUCAGAGGGACAGGAGGAGAAGACAGGAGAAAAGACACAUCAGAAGGACAGAAGGAGAAGACAGGAGGAAAGACACAUCAGAGGGACAGAAGGAGAAGACAGGAGAAAAGACACAUCAGAGGGACAGAAGGAGAAGACAGGAGAAAAUACACAUCAGAGGGACAGGAGGAGAAGACAGGAGAAAAGACACAUCAGAGGGACAGAAGGAGAAGACAGGAGAAAAGACACAUCAGAGGAAGACAGGAGGAGAAGACAGGAGCCAAGACACAUCAGAGGGACAGAAGGAGAAGACAGGAGGAAAGACACAUCAGAGGAAGACAGGAGGAGAAGACAGGAGAAAAGACACAUCAGAGGGACAGAAGGAGAAGACAGGAGGAAAGACACAUCAGAGGGACAGAAGGAGAAGACAGGAGAAAAGACACAUCAGAGGAAGACAGGAGGAGAAGACAGGAGAAAAGACACAUCAGAGGGGGACAGGAGGA